GUGCUUAUUUCAGCAGCACAUCUGCUAAAAUUGGAACAAUACAGAGAAGAUUAACAUGGCCCUGAGCAAGGAUGACAUGCAUAUUUGUGAAGCGUUUCAUAUUUUU
rnacentral:snRNA from 1 species